UACACAUGCAGUCGAACGCUGAAGCAUCCAGCUUGCUGGGUGUGGAUGAGUGGCGAACGGGUGAGUAACACGUGAGUAACCUGCCCCUGACUUCGGGAUAAGCCUGGGAAACUGGGUCUAAUACCGGAUAUGACUACUGGCCGCAUGGUCUGGUGGUGGAAAGGGUUUUACUGGUUGGGGAUGGACUCGCGGCCUAUCAGUUUGUUGGUGGGGUAGUGGCCUACCAAGACGACGACGGGUAGCCGGCCUGAGAGGGCGACCGGCCACACUGGGACUGAGACACGGCCCAGACUCCUACGGGAGGCAGCAGUGGGGAAUAUUGCACAAUGGGGGGAACCCUGAUGCAGCGACGCCGCGUGCGGGAUGACGGCCUUCGGGUUGUAAACCGCUUUCAGUAGGGAAGAAGCGAAAGUGACGGUACCUGCAGAAGAAGUACCGGCUAACUACGUGCCAGCAGCCGCGGUAAUACGUAGGGUACAAGCGUUGUCCGGAAUUAUUGGGCGUAAAGAGCUCGUAGGUGGUUGGUCACGUCUGCUGUGGAAACGCAACGCUUAACGUUGCGCGUGCAGUGGGUACGGGCUGACUAGAGUGCAGUAGGGGAGUCUGGAAUUCCUGGUGUAGCGGUGAAAUGCGCAGAUAUCAGGAGGAACACCGGUGGCGAAGGCGGGACUCUGGGCUGUAACUGACGCUGAGGAGCGAAAGCAUGGGGAGCGAACAGGAUUAGAUACCCUGGUAGUCCAUGCCGUAAACGUUGGGAACUAGGUGU
rnacentral:rRNA from 1 species